CGUCUGACCUUCAGUCCGAAGAAGAAACCCAGACCAGUCUUAAAAGAAAGCACAAACCAAAUCCCCUGUACACAUAUACGGACUCAGAGGAUGAGCAGCCUACAAAAAAACGGUUUCCCCGGGCCCCUCGAGUGAAAAUACCAGCCCUCAUCACUCCGCAGUCUGCCCCCCAGCCCACUGAUAGCAACCAUCAUAAUGCCCCACCCAGCUUCCGGCACCUUUCGCCACUCCGGCACAAACCGACACAGCUUUGCGAUCUCCCCAGCAUGCAGAGUCUGAUGUCUUCCCUAUAGAUGAUUCCAGAGACUCUGUGAGGCCACUAUUACAAGGC